rnacentral:tRNA from 2 species
GGAGAGAUGGCCGAGAGGUUUAAAGCGUCGGAUUGCUAAUCCGUU